GCCCAAGUGGCGGAAUUGGCAGACGCGCUAGGUUCAGGACCUAGUGGGAGAUAAUCCCGUGGAGGUUCAAGUCCUCUCUUGGGCAC
rnacentral:tRNA from 2 species